rnacentral:rRNA from 1 species
AUUGAACGCUGGCGGCAUGCUUUACACAUGCAAGUCGAACGGUAACAGGCCGCAAGGUGCUGACGAGUGGCGAACGGGUGAGUAAUGCAUCGGAACGUGCCCAGUCGUGGGGGAUAACGCAGCGAAAGCUGCGCUAAUACCGCAUACGAUCUCUGGAUGAAAGCGGGGGACCGAAAGGCCUCGCGCGAUUGGAGCGGCCGAUGUCAGAUUAGGUAGUUGGUGGGGUAAAGGCCCACCAAGCCAACGAUCUGUAGCUGGUCUGAGAGGACGACCGGCCACACUGGGACUGAGAAACGGCCCAGACUCCUACGGGAGGCAGCAGUGGGGAAUUUUGGACAAUGGGCGCAAGCCUGAUCCAGCAAUGCCGCGUGCAGGAAGAAGGCCUUCGGGUUGUAAACUGCUUUUGUACGGAACGAAACGGUCCGGGUUAAUACCCUGGGCUAAUGACGGUACCGUAAGAAUAAGCACCGGCUAACUACGUGCCAGCCGCCGCAGUAACAC